UCGCCGCCCUUCCUCCCGCCGCCACCAUAUCCUCAUCUCUCUGCUCCUCCCUCCUCCUCCCUUUCAUCCUCAAGCUGAGCUCCCUCUGUAAUCGCAUCUCCCUUCUACCCGUCGGGGUGGCAGCGGCCUCAGUCGGUGAGGCGGAGGAGGGGGCCCUCCAUGGCGUCGCGACCGAAUCCUCCGGCUAGCCGUCUCUAUCCGUCCGUCCAAUCGACGACCGAGAAAAGAUGGAGGCCGCCACCACGCACUGGUUCAGGUUUGCAUCUUCUGAUUCGGUAGAUUUGUGUUUUGGAGAGAGGCUGGGGGGGACGGCUGCUCAGAUCUAAGGGCUGAGAUUGCACGGUGUUUGCAGCACCGUGGUUGUCAUUGUGUACACAAGAGAAGCCUAGCCCAAGCUUCAUAAGUCCAUGGCCACUUGAGAUGAGAUGGUAUGCAACAUACGAACUAUGUAAUAUGCCGUUACUUGAGUUCGGUGGUGUAGUGUGCUGCGUUGAUUCAGCCCCACCGUUUCACCUGAAUGGAUUGGAUUCGUUGGUUGUCAUUAGCUCAAGGUUCUGGGGCUGAACCUAAGUUGUUUUCCCUAAAUUUAAGAGAGGCAAACUUAAUGAAUUGCUCACAGCGAUGGUUCAGGUUACUAAGUUGGAAGUCCUGCCACCGAACAGACUGCAAGGCGACCCAGCCCUCAUGACCCCUUCAGCGCAGCGUUAUCACUCCACACCACCAUGCCGUAUGCAAAGGACGAUCCUGAUGGACAUGCUGAAGAAACAUGCCUGCCUCUCCACCAGGAGAACCUAUUGAUAUCUUCAGUUCAAAUGCAGAUAGCCAUUGGUGUGGAAUACAGCGACAUAGUAUUUUCCUCUUCCCGAAGCGUGCGCAAGGACCAAGAGACUGUCUGAUCCCGUGGGUGAUGAUUUGGGUUUUGAACUGCUGCUGGCCGUGGGAUGUGCUUGGAUGGUGGAUGUUUGGGUCAAGGAGACAGCAAGGCACUCCAUCUCAGAUCAGUAUUUUAGUAUUGUUUUUUUUGCUCUAUGACAAUUUCAUCCCUUCCAGGAGCUGGUUCAUUGCUGGGAGGCAUAUGUCUUCAUUUCUCUGGACAGGUGCUCAAUAUUGUGUAUCUUUUUUAUUAGCAUUCAAGCCAUGGGCUUUGGCCUUAAACAUGCAUGUGUUGUCUUGAAAAGCGUUUGGAGAAAAUGAGAGGAAGAAUUACUAUAGGGGUGUUCAAUUUUGGUGGUGCAAGUACCAUUUACGUUUCCUCGCUGCCGCAACAAUGCCCAACUUAUGUAGAUGUUGCUUUUGUUGUUCUUUCAUUACUUCUAUUGCUCUUGACAUAGCUCCUAUGUUUCCCUGGUUAUAUAUAAAUGUUUCCAAUUUUGUUUGGAAUUUUGUUUGCCUUAUUCUAAGUUCAUCCUAUUGACUUCGUUUUCUAAAACCUAAGAAAUGGAUUAUUAUUUUUGCACUUAAUUUUUAUGGUACUAUACGAAGUGUGUAUUCUUAUUAGAUUCACGGGGUCGUGCGCCAAGGCGCACAUCUAAAUCUAGUUGGACUAGAGAUAAGGGUAGUUAGAGACUAAACUUGUGAAAUAACUAAAAUAUUAGAAAUUUUGAAAAAAGGGAAAAAAAGAGGGAGUUGAAAAUAAUUCGAAAAAAAAUUACGGUAGCGGGGUUCUACCGCGGCAGCGUUUUGAUGCAUUUUUCUGCCACGGCAGACCCUUUAGCACCGGUUCGUAUUACGAACUGGUGCUAAAGAUCCUCUCGCUCGGACGCCCUGCAGCCGCCACGUGGUGCACCCUUUAGCACCGGUUCGUAACUGAACUGGUGCAAAAGGGGAUCCUUUGGUACCGGAUUGUUUGCACCGGUUGGGCAUCCGGUGCAUAUAGCCCUUACCCACCGGUGCAAAAGGCCAUUUUCCACUAGUGCGUGGCCACGUACGUACAGCCGACCUCGAUCUGCUUGGCGCGAAUAGCCCAGGAAGAAACACGCGUCCACGUGUACUUCCCGCGACUCGCUUCCCACCAGGCACUAGAUUGGGAAAUCCAUCAUAGGACUCAUAGGAGUUUAUUAAUCCGUUGUGCGAAAAUAUGUUUUGAACUGUAAAAAGUUUUGAAAUAAAAUUUUGCAGGUAAAUCUAGAUAUUUUAUGUUCAUACAUAAGUUUUCAGAAAAUUUAAUGUUUUUCCGUGUCUUCUGUAAAAAAAGAUAAAUUUUGAUGCUACAACACGACUACGUGCAGAACAUUCUUUUGUUAUUUUUGUACAUGCCACAUAAAAUGUUGUUUUUUCUCAAAAACUUGUGUACAAACAUAAAAAAUCACAAUAUACACCAUACAUUUUAUGUCAGAAUUUUUUAACAUUUUUAAAAUUAUCUUUUAAUUAUUAUACAUAAUAGGUGCAAAUGCUCCUAUGAGCCGAAACGUCUCCUCCACUUGAAUAGCAAAUUUUACUUUCUUCUCUCGUAUAUGAAUCUUUAUGUGUGCUUCUUAUGACUUAUAUGCCCAUACAUUAGUAGAAAAUGAAUCUUUUGUUCGGAGCUGCAAAGAGCAUUAGUUUCGGCCGUGAUACGAUUCGGGACUAUUCAAACGGCUAGAACGCGCGGCCACAUCUAGUCCCGGUUCGAUCAGGACCAUUAGUUCCGGUUUAUGAUACAAAGCGAGACUAAAGAAGAGGCGAUGAGUACGUCAGACCGCGAGCACCUUAAUUUAGUCCCGGGUUGGAACACCAAGACUAAAGACCUUUUUAUUUGCACCUUUAGUCCCGGGUUGCAUCCAUAGAGGACCGCGAGCACCUUAAUUUAGACCGCGAGCACUAUUGGUAUACUAUGCAUGAGGCUUGCAACUUGUAGGAUAUAAUUUACAUAACUCAUAUGCUUUAUUACUACCGUUGACAAAAUUGUUUCUUGUUUUCAAAAUCAAAGCUCUUGACCGAAUCAAGUUAUUUCUUGCUAUUUUUAUGAGAAGAAAAUAAGAUGCAAUAAAAGUCAAUGACAAGCCGUUUGAUAAACCAUAGUUACAAAUGCCAGAAAAUAAGAACUGGCAAGAGGUUUGGGUACUUCUGGUAUCAAUGUAGGAAAUGGAAAAUCUUGGUCUGUUUUUUGUAUGUCUUCCAAUUACAUUGAAUCAGUGCUGUAUUAGAAUUUAAGAAAAAAAUUCAAAGCAGAGUUUUAGUUGACACUUAGUGUAAAAAAGAGAAAAUACAGUGAGAGACUUGGUUUGUGCGAUGAUAAGUAACAUGCUGAAUUAUGACAUAGAAGGUAAAAGGGAACAAGCAUGCUUGUGUUAUUUCGGUAACUCUUUGCUAGCAACUCUCCCGUUUUUUAGAUCUAUUUUCCCAUGGGAUGUUCUUUAAGAUGAAUACUUUGUAUCGACUUUACCAUAUAAUUUUGUCAACUAGGUUUACAGAAAUAAUGUUAGACUAUUUCUGAUUGUUCCAACUUUACCUGUCAGGACGAUCCUGAUGGACAUGCUGAAGAAACAUGCCUGCCUCUCCACCAGGAGAACCUAUUGAUAUCUUCAGUUCAAAUGCAGAUAGCCAUUGGUGUGGAAUACAGCGACAUAGUAUUUUCCUCUUCCCGAAGCGUGCGCAAGGACCAAGAGACUGUCUGAUCCCGUGGGUGAUGAUUUGGGUUUUGAACUGCUGCUGGCCGUGGGAUGUACUUGGAUGGUGGAUGUUUGGGUCAAGGAGACAGCAAGGCACUCCAUCUCAGAUCAGUAUUUUAGUAUUGUUUUUUUUGCUCUAUGACAAUUUCAUCCCUUCCAGGAGCUGGUUCAUUGCUGGGAGGCAUAUGUCUUCAUUUCUCUGGACAGGUGCUCAAUAUUGUGUAUCUUUUUUAUUAGCAUUCAAGCCAUGGGCUUUGGCCUUAAACAUGCAUGUGUUGUCUUGAAAAGCGUUUGGAGAAAAUGAGAGGAAGAAUUACUAUAGGGGUGUUCAAUUUUGGUGGUGCAAGUACCAUUUACGUUUCCUCGCUGCCGCAACAAUGCCCAACUUAUGUAGAUGUUGCUUUUGUUGUUCUUUCAUUACUUCUAUUGCUCUUGACAUAGCUCCUAUGUUUCCCUGGUUAUAUAUAAAUGUUUCCAAUUUUGUUUGGAAUUUUGUUUGCCUUAUUCUAAGUUCAUCCUAUUGACUUCGUUUUCUAAAACCUAAGAAAUGGAUUAUUAUUUUUGCACUUAAUUUUUAUGGUACUAUACGAAGUGUGUAUUCUUAUUAGA